UACGUAGGGUGCAAGCGUUAAUCGGAAUUACUGGGCGUAAAGCGUGCGCAGGCGGCUAUGCAAGACAGAUGUGAAAUCCCCGGGCUCAACCUGGGAACUGCAUUUGUGACUGCAUGGCUAGAGUACGGUAGAGGGGGAUGGAAUUCCGCGUGUAGCAGUGAAAUGCGUAGAUAUGCGGAGGAACACCGAUGGCGAAGGCAAUCCCCUGGACCUGUACUGACGCUCAUGCACGAAAGCGUGGGGAGCA
rnacentral:rRNA from 1 species